CACAAGCGGUGGGUGAUGUGGAUUAAUUCGAUGCAACGCGAAGAACCUUACUACCCUUGACAUGUCCGGAACUUGCCAGAGAUGGCUUGGUGCCCGAAAGGGAAUCGGAACACAGGUGCUGCAUGGCUGUCGCCAGCUCGUGUCAUGAGAUGUUGGGUUAAGUCCCGCAACGAGCGCAACCCUUAUCGUUAGUUGCUACGCAAGGGCACUCUAAUGAGACUGCCGGUGACAAACCGGAGGAAGUGGGGAUGACGUCAAGUCCUCAUGGCCCUUAUGGGUAGGGCUUCACACGUCAUACAAUGGUCGGUACAGAGGGUUGCCAAGCCGCGAGGCGGAGCCAAUCCCACAAAGCCGAUCGUAGUCCGGAUUGUUCUCUGCAACUCGAGAGCAUGAAGUCGGAAUCGCUAGUAAUCGCAGGUCAGCAUACUGCGGUGAAUACGUUCCCGGGUCUU
rnacentral:rRNA from 1 species